rnacentral:rRNA from 1 species
GACGAACGCUGGCGGCGUGCUUAACACAUGCAAGUCGAGCGGUAAGGCCCUUCGGGUACGACGAGCGGCGAACGGGUGAGUAACACGUGGGUGACCUGCCUCUAGCUCUGGGAUAAGCCUGGGAAACUGGGUCUAAUACCGGAUAUGACUCCACGGCGCAUGUUGUGGGGUGGAAAGCCUUGUGUGGCUAGAGAUGGGCCCGCGGCC